rnacentral:rRNA from 1 species
CCCGGGCCUUGUACACACCGCCCGUCACACCACGAAAGUGGUUAUAACCAGAAGCAGGUACGCCAACCGCAAGGAGGUAGCCUACCAAGGUUGUAGCCGUGAUUGGGGUG